AACCAGUCGCGUUUCUGCAGUCAUAGUGUUCGGUUGUGCUUUCCGCUUACUCUUAUCGCAGUUACCGUUAUUGUUUUGUAUACAUCGUUAGCGCGACUUAUUACUAAUUAUGUCGUCGUCUUCGGGCGGCGACUCUCGUGCGGGGAAAUCACCCGCCCCGAACAAAAUAAAACCUACGCUGUCUACCAAUCGUUCCUCGGAUUCCAAUUUCACUAAAAAAAAUGCACCCCACAGAUGGAAAAAAUGUGAAGACUUGGAUAAUUUGUCAUGUAGUUUACUUAGUAAUUUGGUUUAUGAGCUUAAGUGGAAUAUUAAAAGAAAAUCAUUCUGAAAAAGGUGCUCACUUCUUUUCCACGGCAAUUCAUUGUAUAGUUCUAAUGAUAGAGAUCAACAUUGUCCACAAGUUCAACAUAGAGUCCAAGAUUGUAGCUGAUCGUCGUAAUAGAAGUUUUGAGAUUUCAGAUGAUAUCUAAGCUAUCAGAGAAUUGAGCACCUCAAUCGACAUUUCAUCAUAUAUUAUGUUAAUUAUUUUUGGACUUUUUAUUUUUAAAAUAUACUAAAACAAAAUACAUUAUUGUAAAAUAAGGACAUUAUUAUUUAUUUUUUUUUUUUAUCUAUAAAUACUUUUAUUAGCGACUCCACAACAAAUAAAAAUAACGAGACUAAAUCA